rnacentral:lncRNA from 1 species
CCCCACCAUAUCAAUUUCCUUAUCUGUUUGUGAAAGCUAUCAACCUUAAAUGAGAGGUAAAUAGAGAAAAUUACUUUCCACCUAUAUUCACUAUUCCAACCAGUUAGAAGAUUAGGGUUUUUCUUUCCUUUGUCCUUACUAUCUAUGGAGUGACUACAAUGAUUUCGCAUCUCAUACAUCAUUUUUCAGCAGCAAGGACACUAUAUCUCUUUAUCGUAAAUGACUAACAAUUUCAAAAUCCAGUUCAAACCAGCUUAGAUAUAUCUGGUUUUUAUGAAAGCAAAGGGUGAAAAAUAGCCAAUGAAUCUAAGAAUUCUUCUACUAUAGAAUUCACCUGCUAGAUUUUGACCAAGCUACCAUGACAUGAAUUAAUAUUAUAUAGUUAUUUUUUUAUUUGGGGCCAAAAUUUAAAUGUGUUCAUAUGUCUCUACAGGAGAAACAUCUUCAAGUUCUAUAUACAGUCUGCUGAACUUCUGCCAAAACACUGCUGAACAAUAACUCUUGUUAAUUGGUGAAUCUUCCAGAAUUUUUGUGCAUUUCCAUCCUAUUUUGUUUCAAUGCUACGAAGAAAACUCUUUUUCUCGUAUAAUAAUAAUACAGGCAGUCAGGUGAUGGAGAGUAGGUGAGAGAAUCUCAAAAUAAAUCUUAGGACACAAGCUUUUACUUCUAUAAGCUAUUGUGACACAGUCAUUCUCCCAAAAACAACUGUGGUUUCUAUCAGGAAGAAAAACGCUAUCAAAACAUUGAAAAUGCCAGUGAACGUGGCAUUUAAAAGUUAUUUUUUCCCCUAACUGUUAAUUUUCACUACAAGUUGUAUCUUUUUUAUUUGAGGAUUUUUACUAUUUUAAAAUGAAAAACUGUAAUGGAAGAAUUACAGCAGAAAAGAAAGAAGGAUCAUACAUAGCUUAAUAUUUAUCCUAACUUGGUUUUCUUCCCAUGUGCCCUAAGCCACUGGCAAUUCAUAUUUUCCAAAUUUUGGGUGGAUAAUGUUUUCCCUUUGAUUUUUUUUUGUGGGUAAUGAAGGAACAUUAGCUGUUUGGCUCUUAUAUUGGAAAACUUAUAAAGUUUCCUUUGGUUAAGUGUGUCAGAACUUGUCUACGAAGAAGCAGAAGCAGUCACAAGAAGUUGAUUAAUUUUAUACCUGGACUUGCAAAGACAGGUUAGCUACUCUCUUGUGUGAGUGUAAAUUACAUGGCAGUAUCAAGUAAGCCAGAACUUCACAGGAUUAUCUUAUUACAGGGAUCAUGAUAUUAAAUAGGUACAAUGUGCCAAGUUUUGGGGUGGAUCUUGGGAAUUGCAGACACCCUCUAACGUUACCUGGACCAACACUUUCUGGUCCUGACUAUACCUCCGCCCCUCACUUUUUGUCUGCUCUUCUAGGAUCAUAAGAGACAAAAGGAAGACCAUCCAGUGGGUUGUAUCUGUGUUUAGACAGACAAGCAUCUGGAUUCUUCAACUGACUGUCUCUACCACAUCCCCCAUGUGACCAGGCAAACAGAACAUUUUCUGAUUUUGCUGCACAGACAUUCUCCAAGCCCUGUUCCAGAUCCUCUUAGCGAGAUCUAUUGCAACUCGGUUCAGGAACAAGAGUUUGCUUGCCUCAAGAUCUUGUUGCUAUUGAUACUUCAUUGAUACUUGCUGCUGGAGCAAAGACAAAUCCCAGUGCUUGGCUAUCUGAGGAACUGUGGGAGGAAAUAAGCUGAGAAAACUAUGCCUUGGAAUAACAGAAGUCCACCCUAAAACACUAUUAUAUUAUAUUGGUGUAGUGGUGGAUACAUGAAUACUACAGUUCAACUGUCAAUUGGUUGAUCACCCGGAUUUUAUCUACACCUUAGCCUAUGGUUGUUCAUCUCGUCUCUGCCUAUGGCCCAUUGACUCCCGGAUCCCAGCUCCAUUCUUCGGUACUUUACGCACCCUGCUUCCAGUACCCCAACCAGAAGAAUAUAUAUAGCAGUUAACUGUCAGCUGGCGAAAAGGAGGAAAAUUCAGGAAGAUAAAAUAGCUGAAUGAAUUAUCCCCGCUCCAGAACGCAGAGGAAAAAUGAAAUGGCCAGACCCAGAUGUUAAAAAUGUGUUCCUUGCUCUUUCCUGCCCUAGCAAGGGCUGUUCCAUGUUUAGGGGAUGAAUGCCGCUGAGAGUAUUAGCAAAAAUACAUGUGUCAUUGAGUCUGAGGAAGAUAACUGAGACAUACAGGUAUUUCUCAUAAUGCAUGUGGGCAUCCAUAGACAUAUUCUUAAAUGGCUUAAGGACUUGGAAACUACCUCUAGGAAACCUGAAACUUGAAUGUUGGUCCACUAGGGAGAAGAAAUGUUCCAUUAGCCUUCCAACUAAAGAAAUACACUAUCAAGAAGAACAUUAGCUGUGUGUCCUAUAAGCUUGGGAGAAUAACUUACUUUUAUUUUAAUACAUAUGUUACUUUUAUGGUCAGUAUUUUGGUAAAAUAUAUGCUCUAUUAUGGCAGUAAUUUGUCUGUCUUAUUAAAUGCUAUAUCUGCAGUACCUUCUGUGCAUAACACAGCAAAGGAGCUCAAUAAAUAUCAUUUUGUUGCUGCCCUAAAAAGAGUUCCAGGAGCACUGGUGUGUAGAAGCUCUGGAAAUAAGGAAUGGUGUGAAUAAAUAAAUAGCUUACUUGGAAGCUCAGUGAAACCCAUGUUGGAUAAUUGCUGUGUUAACUAAUCCCAGAAAAGGGAGAAUUAGUAUCCUUGAGGACAGUCUUUUAGGAUGUGGUGAAGUGAUUGCUAUUUAUGGAUCAGGAUCUUGAGUUCUUGACCUGUUCCACCAUCCACAAUUCUGAUAACACUUCCUUCUUUAUGCUUCACUUUUUUCAUCCUAAAAUAAGGGAUUUGAGCAUAUGAUCUCCAAUUCUCUUCUAGCUCUAACAUUUUAUGACAAAGCUCCUUUAAAAUAAUUUAUUUUACACAGUCCUUAGAAAAUUAAGACUGAGAGGCCAGGCAUGGUAGCUCAAGCCUGUAAUCCCAGCACUUUGGGAGGCCGAGGCGGGUGGAUCACGAGAUCAGGAGAUCAAGACCAUCCUGACUAACACGGUGAAACCCCAUCUCUACUAAAAAUACAAAAAAAUUAGCCAGGCGUGGUGGCGGGCACCUGUAGUCCCAGCUACUCAGGACGCUGAGGCAGGAGAGUCGCGUGAACCCAGAAGGCGGAGCUUGCAGUGAGCCAAGAUCAUGCCACUGCACUCCAGCCUGGGCGACAGAGUGAGACUCUGUCUCAAAAAAAAAAAAGAAAAUUAAGACUGAGAAACGUAGAGUGAGUAUUAUAACUAAAUAGGUGGACAAUUAGAGUCAAAGACCAAAUUUUUGUUAAGUAUUACAAAGAUAAGAAUUCUUCACAUUUGAAUUGAACAUUUAAUAUUUUCAAAGUGCAUUUGCAUCCAUCUCCUUAUUUGAUUUUCAAAGCCACCAUGCAAAACUAUUUAAUACAUUGCACUAAGAAAUAGGUUUAUGGCAGGAGUUUACAAAGAAAAUUAGUGAUAAGACUAGGAUUCAAAUCUCCAGAAUCCUGUUUUAGUUUUUUUCCUUUUAAAUAUAUAUUAAGUUGCCUAGUAAAAUAUUUUACAAAUAUUUAUUUUGAAAAUAUAAUAGGGCAUUUCUGGGUUGGCCAAAACUAAGAUUCCAAUACAGCUAUGGGGACAGAAAUAGGCACCUUCCUUUCCAUGUACAUCUAUUCCAUUUGAUUUGAUUUAUAAGGUUGCUGAUAAGCCUUUUGGGAAAAUAACUGGGAUAGCAUCAAUAAUUGGAUCUCAAGCAUACACAGGAACUUUUAGAUAAUGAAGAAUCUAAUGAGAGCAAAAUAGAACAAAAAAAACCAGCUGAAUCUCACAGACAAUUUGCCCUAUAGGGAAAAAGCCUGGUGUGAAUUGGAUUUAGCAACAAAAGCUAAGGGAUUGAAGAGCAGUUCUGGGUUUUUUGUUGGUUUUAAACACAUUAGGUUCUAAGAAAUGUUGCUGUGGGACCCUUUAACAUAGUUUAACACAGAAGGGAGAAAACUGUUUCCUUUCUCACCUAGCAACUCACUGCUGCUGUGCUAUUACAACUUAGCAAGGAUUGAGAGCACUGGUAGCUGGAGGGGCUAGCAAGGAUCUGUACCUGGUGUAAAACAUGAACAUAGCAGAGGCCAGCAGCUGCGUGUAAGCAGAGCUCCAGCCGGCAUUUAGCUGCACCAGAGCCCAAGCAUGGCAGAGGCCAGCCACAGUUAGGAGAGUGAAUGACCUGGACUACUUAAUUAAUGCAUGCAAGACAUUCCUCUGGGAUUCUCAAAAAUCUUUAGGGAAUUGGAAUUCCUGCCUAAACAGGUGGUGACUUCUACUAGCAAAAUGUCAUACAGGAUUACAAGACAAUGAGUACUGUUUUCUGGAUUUUGGCUCCUCUUAAACCAUGCUGUUCUAGGUUGCUUUGUGGUUAGAAGUUUAUCUUAAACUGUCUGAAUAAUUCCUUUUUUUUUUUUGAGACAGGGUCUCACUCAGUCACCCAGGCUAGAGUGUGGUAGCGCAAUCUUGGCUCACAGCAACCUCAGCCUUUUGGAAUCAAGUGAUCCUCUCACCUCAGCCUCCUGAGUAGCCUCAGGCCCACUCCACCACACCUGGCUAAUUUUUGUUUUUGUUUUUUUUGGAGAGACGAAUUUUCACCAUAUUGCCCAGGCUGGUCUCCAGCUCUUCAGCUCAGGUGAACACCCACCUUGGCCUCCCAAAGUGCUGGGAUUACAGGCGUGAGCCACCAUGCCCGGCCUGCCUGAAUAAUUUCUAAGCUUAUUCUUAGUGAGUGAUCUUGAUUUCAACUAACUCCUGAAUACCAUGCAAUUAUUUUCUCAUUAUAUUGUUUUAAAAUAUUUCCAGUGAAGGCUGCUAACAUGCAAAUUAAACUUUGUCUGAAGUUGAAAUGAUACUUCACUAAGUUUCUGAAAAAUCCAACCAAUAAAUAUAAGCUAUUUUUUGUGUUUGCGGAUUUCCUUUGCUAAAUUUGUGUCUCAUUCACUUUCUAAAAAAAUGAAUUAUAUCAAAAAAGUUUACAAAUUUUGUUGACAGGUUUCUUCAGAAAAACAUCUGACUUUUCUACAUCGAGACCUUAUAUACUGUUUCUUAACAACACUUAAUUUUCUGAAAAGGCAGAAAAUGUGACUUACUAUGUGACUAUAUUUUACUGAUGGUUUUAAUUAUUACAGUGAGAGAGUGAUAAAGAACUGGGCUAACAUUUUUGCAACCAGUUGAUCUAGAUGAACAAUGCAGUUUAAUGCAAGAACAUUAAGACAUACUUCUUUCAGGUGAGCUAUAAACCUUUGUGUCUUCCAGCCACGGAAUUUGCUCCAUCAGAAGCACUGGACACCUGAUUCUCCAAUGGCACUUGUGUUGUAUUAAACAAAAACUUUAUAGUAGCAAAAAUCGAUGUUCUAGUAUAGUCAGUUUCUAAAGAACUUACAAACAUCCCUUCUUGCAAUACACAAUCAUCAUUGAGACAACAAACAAUUGCCAUUAGGAGGGUUUUAUUGUAACUUUCAUCAAUUUGAAUAGAAAUUUUUUCUUGUUUUGAAUGUGCCAAUUAACUGCUUUUAAAUGUUAACUAACAACUCAUACAUAUGUCUUUGAAUUGAAUUCUUGCUCAAUGGCAGUUCUUUCAAAAUACUGGAUUUUGCUUCAUCACUAUUGAAAUUGCAGUCUAGGCAAAUGUAUGAGCAUGACCAGGUUUUGUAAGGAUUUCUGCAACUUUUUAAGACCC